rnacentral:lncRNA from 1 species
CCUGAUCGGAUCAUAUUUAUAUAUAUUUUUACUUCAAAUUCACUCGUCUUUUCUUAGUUAGUUCCUUAUAUUUUUGAGCUAUUUACGUUAUUUUUGUGUUUAUAGGAUUUGUUAUGCAAAGAAAAUAAAAAUAGAACAAGUGAAAUUUUAUGUAAUAACUUCGUCAAGAUUGUAUUCCAUUAAAAUAAGUUGGAAAUAAGUACAUAGAGUAAUUAACGUCUUUCCUAUCUAGCCAAAAACAUAAACUGAAAAGUAAUUUAAUGAAAACUCAUUUUCGACAUGUUUGUGUGAAAUUUGCAUGCAGGAUCUCUUUAUUCAGAGUUGGCAGUCAGUGGGUUUAUAUACUGAAAGUCUUAAAGAGCAUUGAGAGGAGAAUAAUAAGGAAAGCAAAGCUGCCUUUGCAGCUGGCGUGAAAAGAAGAAGGCCAGCGUUAGAAAAGGAAGCUGCUUUGCAGCUGGACAAGGCGGGCAGAGGAGCUGCUUUGGCAGCUGGAUAGGUCAGAAACAAGAAGAAAAAGAAAAGUCAAAAAGUUAGUGAGGGCAGCGAGGCUGCCAGGAGGAAAAGGAAAAAAAUAAUAAAAAGAUG